UUGUUAGAUGAGUUUCCCAAACGCAGUUAUUCCUUGCAGCUAAUUUUCUUUUCGCCGUUAUUCACAGUCGCAAAUUUUCCCACUUUUUUAAUUUCCCUGUCUUACUAUUUCUCGCUGGCCGCGGACAUUAAAAUAACACGACAAGACGAAAAAACGGAACAGUGAGAAAACUAUUAGGAAAUAUGGCUACGGGUGAAAAAACAGAAAAAAACACAAAACGAAACAAAAAUAAUUUAUAAAUUAACUGCAGGUUAAAAUUCAGACAAAAAAAUAUCAGAAACAGAAGCAAAGCGACUGUAAAAAUAAGCUGCAGAGGAAAAAUUAACUGCAGGUUAAAAUUCAGACAAAAAAAAAUCGGAAUCAGAAGCAAAGCGACUGUAAAAAUAAGCUGCAGAGAAAAAAAGUGUUUAGGAUAAUCGCUUUCGGGAAAAAAUGCGAAAAGAAAAUUAGCUGCAAGGAAUAACUGCGUUUGGGAAACUCAUCUAACAAAUCUGUGAU